UUAAUUUCCUCAUUGCUGCUGCAACUUUUCCCGUGUGCGAGUUCACUUUAAUCUCAUUGAAGAACACACCCCGACUACAUGACGUGAACAGUGCUGUGUGUCCAAUUUUCCCUGAGGAACAAUGAAGUAAAUCCUAUUCUACCUUAGCUAUGACAGAGAGGACUUCCUGCUCUUCGUGUUGGGAUCGUCUCUCCAGGUCUUCAGGGUGUGGAGCUCCGCCUGGGCGUUCACCAGCUCUGCCUUCACCCCCCUCAGCUGCUCAUGGAGACCUGGCAAGUGAUGGGGUCCAGCUUCACUCUUUCGUUCCUCCUCCGUCGAGAGAGUCGUCCCAUAGAUGACGCAGUGGACUCUUCAUGGCCAGUGUUGGGGGAGGAGGAGUAGCCAUAUACAACUUGCCAUGCAACUGGAUUUGGAGUGGCAAGGACAGCCAAGGUCAAGGCAGGCAGUCCUCCCGGUUUUGACCCUUGCCUGUUUCUGGACUUUGUACCCGCCUGCCUGACCAUUCUGCCUGCCUUGACCACGAGCCUGUCUGCCACUCUGUAACUCCUGGACUCUGAUCUGGUUUUUACCUUUUUGCCUGUCCAUGACCAUUAUCAUGCCUACCCCUUUGGAUUAAUAAACAUUGUAAGACCAAC